UAAGGAAUAUUGGUCAAUGGACGAAAGUCUGAACCAGCCAUGCCGCGUGGAGGAUGAAGGUCCUCUGGAUUGUAAACUUCUUUUAUCUGGGACGAAAAAAGGCUUUUCUAAGUCGUCUGACGGUACCAGAUGAAUAAGCACCGGCUAACUCCGUGCCAGCAGCCGCGGUAAUACGGAGGGUGCAAGCGUUAUCCGGAUUCACUGGGUUUAAAGGGAGCGUAGGUGGGUCGGUAAGUCAGUGGUGAAAUCCCCGAGCUUAACUUGGGAACUGCCAUUGAUACUAUCAGUCUUGAAUACCGUGGAGGUCAGCGGAAUAUGUCAUGUAGCGGUGAAAUGCUUAGAUAUGACAUAGAACACCAAUUGCGAAGGCAGCUGGCUACACGAAUAUUGACACUGAGGCUCGAAAGCGUGGGGAUCAAACAGGAUUAGAUACCCUGGUAGUCCACGCCCUAAACUAUGGAUACUCGACAUACGCGAUACACUGUG
rnacentral:rRNA from 1 species